rnacentral:rRNA from 1 species
GACGAACGCUGGCGGCGUGCUUAACACAUGCAAGUCGAGCGGGGAUUGAGAUUGGAAAGCUUCGGCCGGAAGAUUUCAAUUCUAGCGGCGGACGGGUGAGUAACGCGUGAGCAAUCUGUUCCACACAGGGGGAUAACAACUGGAAAAAGUUGCUAAUACCGCAUAAGACCACGAUGUCGAAUGGCAUUGAGGUAAAAGAUUUAUCGGUGUGGGGUGAGCUCGCGUCUGAUUAGCUAGUUGGUGAGGUAACGGCCCACCAAGGCGACGAUCAGUAGCCGACCUGAGAGGGUGAUCGGCCACAUUGGAACUGAGACACGGUCCAGACUCCUACGGGAGGCAGCAGUGGGGAAUAUUGGGCAAUGGGCGCAAGCCUGACCCAGCAACGCCGCGUGAGGGAAGAAGGCUUUCGGGUUGUAAACCUCUGUCCUAAGUGACGAACAAGAUGACGGUAGCUUAGGAGGAAGCCCCGGCUAACUACGUGCCAGCCGCCGCCGUAAAAC